rnacentral:rRNA from 1 species
UACGUAGGAGGCGAGCGUUGUCCGGAGUUACUGGGCGUAAAGGGUGCGCAGGCGGUGGCCCGCGUGGGCGGUGAAAGCUCCUGGCUCAACUGGGAGAGGGCCGUCCAGACGGGGUCACUUGAGAGGCGGAGAGGGGCGUGGAAUUCCGGGUGGAGCGGUGAAAUGCAUUGAGAUCGGAAAGAACACCAACGGCGAAAGCACUCUGCUGGGCCGACACUGACACUGAGAGACGAAAGCUAGGGGAGCAAAUGGG